ensembl:lncRNA novel transcript
GCAGUACAGUGGCGUAAUCUCAGCUCACUGCAACCUCUGCCUCCCGGGAUCAAGCGAUUCUCCUUCCUCAGCCUCCCGAGUAGCUGGGAUUACAGGUUCAAGAGAUUCUUCUGCCUCAGCCUCCCAAGUAGCUGGCACUGCAGACACGCACCACCACACCCAGAAUAGUGAAAUAAGGUGGCCAAGGAGGCAGAGAUGGAGUCAGGGACUCUGUGAUCAACCCUGAGGAUUGGGAAGGAACUAUACAUACCAGGAGGCAAGGAGCACUGGGGGCCCUCCUGGAACUGCCUGUCACAGCGUCCUCAAAGGUUUUCACUCUCCUAGGAUGACCCAGGUAUAGAAUCUGCCCCUAUGGUUCGGCUCCACCCUCUCACCUGUCUCUUGAGAGCAUUGUGAAAUUCUGAGACACAGCAAGGACAGAAACAGAGGGCAUGGAAGAUGCUUUCAGUGGCUCUCUUCGGCUAAAUCAACCUAAAACCAGGGAGAAGGAGGCUCACUGAUGGGAAAUUUUUAUAUUUACAUAAUUUUGAAGAAUCCUGGAAUGUAUGGUGAAUAGGUACUCUGUAAAAAUGAAAAUGUUUUCCUGAUAUUACUGCCACCUUCUUAAAACUGAGGAUAUUAACCUUUCAUGUAAGAAUCAGAAUAGUUAUUUUAUGGUACCUGGUUACCCAAAUGUGAAUAAAUUGCCCCUCCCAUUCCUCUUAUCAAGACUUGUGUGUGUGUAUGUGUGUGAGACCUAUAAAAACUUCUCUUUUCUAAUGACACUUUUUCUUAUCCACCCCAUGCCACUGAUCUCCUCCUUUGGCUGUUCUUGAGGUCUUAUUUUUGUAUCAUGCAUUUUCCACCAUGCAUGUUCCUGGGUGCCAUGGAGGAGAGUGGAAAGAGCAGGAUUUUAAAGCCAGACAGGCCAUAGUUAGGAUUCCAAUUUUGCUAAUUACCAGUUGUUCAAACAUAGACUGAGUUUCAUGUUAUUCAUCUGUAACACGGGAAUUCUUGAGAAUCAAAUUCUUUAAUUAUAUUGAACACAAAGCCUGACAUCCAUGAGGUACUCAAUAGUUCUUUUCUUCAUUCCUCCUUAUUUCAGUCUUAGUUUCUAACUAUAUUUUAAACUGCUAGAGGGAGCAGUAAUUUGUCUUGCCUAAUAUCUUUAUUCCAUUCAACAGCUUCUCAAAACAUGUUUUUUACAAAAGUAACAUUUUAAAAAUGUAAAUAGAAUCACUUUCUUCUUUAAUAAACAUACUGAAUAGACUCAGAAAUGAUAAUAUAAUGUCAAACUGGUAAUCAGGAACUAAUGGCAGAGUUUUAUUUCCACCAUGAACUAAUUGUGUGGCAUAUGAAAGUCUAGCAAUAUUCUUAUGAACUACGUGAUAUUGACAUACAAGUCAAUUUAUGAACUGACUUUUGCCUAGAAAUUAGGAGGUCCUAUUUAGCUAUUUUCCCCAGUACAAAUAUAAAAUGAUCAAUAAGGAAUCAUAAUAUUUUAAUUUUCUAAUACAGUUGUCACACAAAGGAAUACACCGGUCAUUGCAAACAUUGGCUUACCAGUUAACUCAAACCACUGAAAAAUCAUAGUUACUCCAAGUCAUUAAGAAAUAAGUCUGCAUAGGUAAAUUCUUCAAAGACAAAACUGUUUGGUCUUUUCUGACAAGAGUUAAAAUAUUUUUUAUUAUAUUUUCUAAAAAUGCAUUUAUUACUGUACAUUACUUAAUCUUUUCUAGAUGAUUCAGGAUGUAAUGCUAAACAUCAAUAAAGGGCCUGUGCUGUAAGCACCUGUAUAUACAGGGAACACUAAGAUUAGUAAUGUUUUGCCAUAUAUUAAAGGGCCAAACAAUUUGCUUUUGUUCUUUGUGGGUGUGUGUGUUCGUUUUGGAGAAAUAUCUCUUGCCUUGCUGCCAUAUUAGCUCCUUACUUUACUGUGUGUCUGCUUGUAACAAUGACGCUUCACUAUUCAACUGUGAUAUUCUUGAUCUCCUGGGAUUUAAAAAAUGAGAUGAUGAAUCUUAUUGGACUGCUAUGCAAUAUAAAACUAAAAUUAAAGGCAGUACUUAUAAGGCUUUCCUAGCAGUAAAGUAUCCAGGCUUUAGUAUUAUUUAUCAUCAAUUUUAGCUGUUUUAAAAUUGCUUCCUUCCUGUUUUCAGGCCAAAUGCUGAAUAUCUGAGUUGUUAAUAUGUUAUAACAAGAUUAAAUGACAUUUAAUUACUUUAGUCAUAUAUACCAAAGUUCCCAUUUUAGUUUAAAAAUUCAAAUAAAGCAAAGGAAU